GACGAACCGUGCGAACGUUGUUCGGAAUCACUGGGCUUAAAGGGCGCGUAGGCGGCUUGCCAAGUCAGGGGUGAAAUCCAGCAGCUUAACUGUUGAAGUGCCUUUGAUACUGGCGAGCUCGAGGGAGGUAGGGGUAUGCGGAACUUCUGGUGGAGCGGUGAAAUGCGUUGAUAUCAGAAGGAACGCCGGUGGCGAAAGCGGCGUACUGGACCGCUUCUGACGCUGAGGCGCGAAAGCUAGGGGAGCAAACAGG
rnacentral:rRNA from 1 species